UGGGGAAUAUUGCACAAUGGGCGCAAGCCUGAUGCAGCCAUGCCGCGUGUAUGAAGAAGGCCUUCGGGUUGUAAAGUACUUUCAGCGGGGAGGAAGGCGAUAAGGUUAAUAACCUUGUCGAUUGACGUUACCCGCAGAAGAAGCACCGGCUAACUCCGUGCCAGCAGCCGCGGUAAUACGGAGGGUGCAAGCGUUAAUCGGAAUUACUGGGCGUAAAGCGCACGCAGGCGGUAUGUCAAGUCGGAUGUGAAAUCCCCGGGCUCAACCUGGGAACUGCAUUCGGAACUGGCAGGCUAGAGUCUUGUAGAGGGGGGUAGAAUUCCAGGUGUAGCGGUGAAAUGCGUAGAGAUCUGGAGGAAUACCGGUGGCGAAGGCGGCCCCCUGGACAAAGACUGACGCUCAGGUGCGAAAGCGUGGGGAGCAAACA
rnacentral:rRNA from 1 species